GCAGCAGUUAGCUAGCUAUUUGCUUUGAUCAUGCACUUUCCACUUUGUCAAUUUAACUAUUUUGCGGCAGGAUGACAUGUGUAGACAGUUGAUAUAGGAAGUCCCAGCCAAUUUACAAGUGUGUAGUCUUUUUAAUCUGCCUCUGAUCCGCUUAGUGGGGGGUGCCAUGUGUUCACCAGGCAGCAGUAGCCAAUCUGUGCUGUUAAGGCAAUAGAACAGUGAACGAACGCUGAUAGAUGCCAGUUUAUGAAUGGCUUGGCAUUCCCAGAGAGGUCAGGGGAGGCAGUCUGGGGGGUUGUCUCAAAGAAAGUACGUGCCCAGGAGGCCGCUGGUCCAAAGCAACCUGUCUGUCUGUGGGGAGAAUGACGUGGACCAGUUACUAGACCUCCUUUCUACUCUCAACGAAGACAGGCCUCCCUACUUAAGUGUCUCUGAUGAGGUGCUGGACAGGCACACAUCUGAGCCUGUCUUGAGACUGAGAAACCUGAGCCGCAACACUGACUUAACAGAAAGUGGUCCCUCUUGGAGUGCCAAGCUUGGGAAGUUGUCCCAUCAGGGAAGUGAGGAGAAAGGGUCAGAAGCCAAUUUGACUGACAGGGAUAUCAUUGUUCCUGUUAGGUUACAAGGGGGUGCUUCAUUGACCUCUGGUCAUCAUUAUGGCUCAAUUGCGGGUCGAGGUGAUGGUGGCAACUGUGUCAAUUGGCUUGGGAAAUGGGGCAGGGGACGGCAACAGCCAGUGGAGAGAGAAUGUGUCUCUUUUGUCCAAAAAUGCAACAGCGGUUCACUAGGUUCUACCUUUCCCGGAGAUGCUCCUUUCUACCCUGAAGUCCCCGACUUGCUAGACAGGCGUCAGGGGGAACAUGUAAAGCCUGCAUGUCUGAAGCAGAAUGAAAACGUGUCAACGUUCCAGGAUCUACUAGAGUCCUCCUGGACAUCUGCAAGCUUGCAUCGGUCAAUGUUGGAUCUUGAGAUUGGCUUAUCAUUGGUGGAUCUAGGCCUACUACCCCAGGCACUGAGUACCUCUGGAGACUUGGCCUUAUCUCCUGUGAAUCUUGAAUCUCCUUUAGAUAACGAAUCUCAUGGCCCUAGGCCCUUUAUCUCUUGCAGUGCAAAAAUGUCAUGCUCCAUCGACCACUGUCACAAAGGGGGCAGAAGUUGUUCUACCAGGAAGGAUGGUUCCUCAACAAGUCCGUAUAAGGCCAACAGGGAAACCAAGUUCUCUGAACUCCAUCUUCAUAGCGAAAUCGCAAAGAAUGCUGGACAACAAUCAACAAACAUCCAUUCUCCUAGUGUAUCAGUGAAGGCACACAUUGAACCAUGGUGGAAAGCUGAAAGAAAGGCAGAAAAGGAGACUGACGUUUUUGCGUCGGCCAUGCGUGGCUCAGAUUUCCCAAGCAAUAUGUACUUUUUACCUGCAAGCCUCUCUCAGUAUAGCUUCAGCGGUAGACAAAACAGCACAGAGGUGGCGUACCCUGAGCAUAAUACAAAACGGUCCAAUGAACUCUCAGGUCAAGCUAAGUCAGAUUCAGUGGACACUGUGCAUAGUUUUUAUCCUACUCUAAAAGGGGUGGAGGAUUUGUCUGAGGUGCCGAGAGUCACAACAAGUAAUCCAGCUGUGUCACAUUCUCUCUUGUGGGAAGAAAGACUUGCAAUCACUAAGAAUUUGGGUCAAAUGACCCUCUCGGACAGAGAGAGGGCAGCUCACCUGAAGCGAAGCACUCCGAAUGCGCCAAGCCAAGACAACAGAGAGGGCCUCUCUCUGCGCCUCCAUAGCCAUAGCAGAAGAACUCCUGGGUCAACUACUCCUGAAAGUCAAUGUCAGAUCGACCCAUUAGUUACAACACACACAAGCACAUUGCAUACGUUGACAGGAGGCGCCAGUGGUGAUUUUCUUGGCGAUAGAGAGCUGUCUGCAGUUCAUCAGUCCUUGCCUGUGCCUAUUGACGCAGUAGAGAUUCAUAGCCCCAGUCUUGUGGAGACAAUAGAGGACAGCAGGUGGCUGGCACUCUACAGAUUCAGACUGCAGUUGCGCUGCUUCAGGACAUGGAACCAUCAGUGGAGGUCACACACACGGGCCAGACUCCAGCACCGGAGACACUUACUGAGGACCGGCCUCUCUGCCCUGAGGUGGGCUGUGGUUACCCGACGUGCCCAGACAGACACCCUUGCCAGGAGGAAGGAUGCCCUGACCCUCGCCCACUGUUUCCAUCGGUGGAGGAGGUGUGUGGGACAGAUGCAUUGUCUCAACGUGAGCCCUGGCUCUGUGCGGGGUGACAUUGGGGUUGUGGAUUGCCUGCUGAGGAGACUGACCCAGCCCAGCGACACCCUGGUCCUGAGGACGGCCUACUGUGCCUGGAGGAGCCACAUCCAGGGCAUGCAGCUCGGCAGGGCAUCGCUCAUACACUACCAUCUGACUCUGCUGUGUAAGCACUGGCUGCUGUGGAGGCAGGCUGGUGUGAGGCUGCAGGCGUGGGCGCUACAAGCCCAGAGGGCAGCCCUCCACUGGGACCGCAGGCAGCAGGGUCGGGCCUACGUCUUGUGGAGAGCUGCCUGGGUCACAGCACGUCUGGCCACAAAACAGCACAGGGUGUCCUGCCUGGCUGCAGCCUGGAGCGUGUGGGCGGCCCGGGCCACACAGAGGGAGGAGGAGCGAUCUGCUAGGGCCAAUCAGAGUGCUGGCUUCCACAGGAGGAGCCUACUGCAGCACAGCCUUCUGCUGUGGCUAGAGAGAGCAGAGCAGAGAAGACGACAGAGGGAUAGGCUGCAACGCAUCGUCAGGAGGGUUUCCCAGCGCUGGCGCGAGCACACACACAGAGCCCGGUUGCAGCGUGUGUGUGUCGAGGCCGAACAGGUACUCUGCAGACAAAUUUUAGCAGGCAAGUGGUGUGUGUGCCAGUGAGCCCUCUUAAGUCUUACCCUGACUUCAAACAAACACACGACAGCCUUGUUUAAGUCCCAACUCUCACACUGACUGGCAUAGUGCCUCCCUCUACAACAUGCCGAUUGUCUUCUGCUAGACCAGUGGUUCCAAAACUUGGGGUCCGGUGCCCUGAAAUAGAAACCUUCUGAGAAACGGGUUUUUAUCUUCAAAUGGGUAUAGAAUACAACAGUUUACUGUCGACUAAUGGCCUUUUACCCUAUUAGAAUGAGCUUUCGUGUCAUUAUGAUGUGUUGGGACAGCCUUUGGGACCUACAAUUUAGUGAAUAUGAACAGUGUUAACUGGGGAAUAUAAUUUUUCCAAGUGGUGUCCCCUGCAUUUUCUAAAGGCAAUAUGGGGUUGUGUGCAAAAAAAGGUUUGGAAACCCCUGUGCUAAACAGCUGGCAGUCACACAUUAAAUAGUUCCCUUUUGAUAUGCGCUUGCUUAAAAGUGCUAGCUAGUGGUGCCAGAGUGGUGUAAAACCAAGAGACUCAACUGACUGAAUUGCCGACGGUCUGUUUUCCUCUUUGAGUCUUUGGGUUUCAAACCUGUCUGGCGCUAGCAUGCACUGGCUUGCACAGAAGUGACACAAUUAUGGGCCAGCGGCUAAUGAAGUGUCUAUUAGAGUCAUCGGGAUGAUGAAUGUCUUUUGGCCUCAUCUCCUCUCACCAGUGGCCUUUGGGAGGUGGCGCCAGGAGUUUGCCCGGGCAGACUGCGGGCACAGACUGGUGCAGAGGUGGCACUACCUGCUGGAGUGGAGGAGACUGCAGGAGGCGUUUACAUCCUGGAACCGCAGGGUCCUGGUCAGGAGAGGGGCCCUAGAGAUACAGGAGAAAAGGCAACGGGCACAGCUCUCACAGUCAGUCUAUGGAGCAUAGACAAAUAGACAAAUUAUAUAAUAUGAAAUGUCUCCAUUUUGAUUCAAGUGUGCUCCAGUUAGUUUUGAGUGUGCCUUCAGAGUUUAACAUUGAUCAACAUUGUUUGUGUGACCCCCCCAUCGCAGCAUCCUGCGUGGCUGGCGGGGUGUGGUCGAGCGCAGGGCGGCGUGUGUGUGUUACUGCAGCGAGAGGAAUGAUCGGAUGGCCGCACACACCCUGCAGAGCUGGAGGAGAGCCACAGCGCUACGGUCUCUACACACACACCUCCUCACACACCUGCUGGAGAGAAGGACACAGGCGCUGACCCUAGGGACACUGACAGGUUGGCCUGGCGUCUUAACUUCAAUGAAACCUUCUGUCAUUCACUUCUUCUUUCCCAUACAUCCUCCAGGGAAGGCCAAACCUCAAUGCUUGUCGAGCUACUGGGUGUACAGGCUUUAAGCUCCAGAGCAGGACUGCAGCAAAAGCCUGUACGCCCGGCAGUUCUUCAUGAAUUCCAUGGCUGUUAAAGUGCAAGUGCGUGCUCAAUCUCACACGUAGGGAAUAUGAGGCAGAGUGAGGCGGUGACGCCAAGGUUGUAUGGUGGUGCCAGGCUCAUCACAUUGGAGGAGUUGUGUGACAACCUGCAGCUCCAGACAAGCUUUCACUCCUGGAGGAGGGAGAGGAGCAAGCUCCAGCUAGCCAGGUAGCUACCACCACACUGCUGCUCUCUCGUCUUGGCCUCUUUUUUUUUUUUUUUUUUUUUAAUCGCUCAGCGUUUUUUUCCCCUUUUGACUUUCUUGCUUUGGAGUAUACUUAAACUGCUCUGUCUCCCCUUCAAUCUUUCCAUCCCUUGCUCUCACUCCCCACCUGUCUCAGACUGUACUGUGUGGCCCGGGCGAGGGAGCAGAUGAGAUUGGCGCUGCAGCGUUGGCAUGGGCUGGUGUGGGAUUCCCAGGCCUGCAGGGUGCACAGGUUCAGGACUAGACUGGCAGCGCUGGAAUCCUCUUCCUCUGGGUUCGGCAGCACCUCUCCCCUCUCCCUGAAGCUUGCUGUGGCAGAGCAUAACAUCAGCACGGAGCUCAGCGAUUGGUCAAACAGCUCCUCUUCAGCACAGAUGGACAGAGGACUCCCCCUACUGGCCUCAUCCCCAUUGGAAAGUCUCAAGACCUGGUCAGUCUGGUGAACACACACACACACACACACUGUUUGAAAGAGAGGUGGUGAGUGUUAGAGUAUGACUGACACACACAUACAAACAUUGUAACCCUGCUUCAAGGCCUUUUGCUCUCCUCUCCACAAAGCUUCCAGGUCGAGAACCAUGUUGAUUUAGCAGAAGGUGACCAAACUUUCUGUCUCUCGCAUCAAAGUCUCCCAGAUCACAAGAGCUCACCCAGAUUAAAGGUAUUUCAUCCGGUGUUUGUAUAAUCUCCACACACUCUUGCAUCCUUUAUCAAAACAUACAACAAUGCCACAAGUAAAAGAAUAUCCAUCUUCUCUCUUGGUCAGGGUGUCAUGGGGACUGUGGUGGGCCGGAUGCUGCGUCCCUCCCUCAGCGUGGCCUUCUCUCAGUGGAGGGACUAUGUCAGAGUCGGCAGGGAGCAGCGACGCCUCAUGGGCCUGAUGGCAGACGUCCGCAGACGGGCAAUGCUUGGCACCGCCCUCAGCCUGUGGAGGAGACACACCCAGAGCCUCAGCACCGCAGCCAUACACAUGGUCAGUAUUAU
rnacentral:lncRNA from 1 species